AAAAACAUAGCUUCCUAUUACAGAAAAAAAUCAGAAGGGCUAUGGUUCAAAUAAAAUAUUAAGAAAUGAUCAGCUUUCUUGAGGAUCCUAAAGCCAAAACUGUGUUACUAAAGAAUGCCCCUCCCCCACCCAGGCUUUCUCUUCCAGUUAAUCACGUGGCUGACAAGUAGCUAGCCUGAAACUGUUUCUCUCCUAGGUGACAGCCUGAAGUGCCUAGAACUUGGUUUAAUGAUUAUCUGACUUUUUAAAUUCUCUUUCUCUUUUGUAUAUGUGUGGUCUUACCACUUACGGGUGAACAUAUAACAAGUUUAUUUCAUUUCACACAAGAUAACCAAAGGGGAAGUCUCCGAGAAGCAACAAUAAUGAAAGAUCUGACAGAAGCAAGAAACUCUGGUUGCUACUGGAAAGCCACAGCAUGAAGCCAAAUGACACGUGGAGAAAUGCAGGGUGAGGAGAAUUGUAAAGAAAGAGAAUUGGAGGCACUCAACUGCCGGACUUCUCACUGAGCUACAGGGUAUCAAUACAGAAAACCUGCACAAGGUAGUCUGAUGUUCUUGUUGGUCCAGAUGCUCGUACCAGCUCCAACCAUGCACAGGCCUCAGGCAUACAAAUAGAUACAGGAAUGUAAAAUUGCUCAACGACAGCGUCUUUCAAAUUUACCCCAUGAGUUCAAGUGUGAGAAAAAGAAAACCGGCACGUACCAUCGACUUAUCAAGGCUGACCAGCAGAACGUUCCGAUACUCUUCACCAUUUUUACCUUCAACCUCACAAUCAGGUGAUGCUACCGGCAACAGAACAAGGAUCAGGGGAGGAAUUCCAAAGAUAUACCUAAAAGAAACUAAAGGCAACAGUCAGUAAGAAUGAGCUAAAUGUUAAGUCCCAUUAUCUAAGCUGAUUUCAGGGGGCCUGUCCACUGAUGUCUAAUAAUUAAUUGUCCACACGCCUCUCGGUUUUUGGACAGAGUGGGAAGGACCCUAAAAUUCAACGUUAUGUAACAACCAUAGUAGGUCGUCAGUAUUUUAGUGUUUAGCUUUCCUUCAUUUGUUUUUGUUUAGAAAUUACCCUUUGGGGAAGUGCAGAACACACGUAUGAUGACGAUAGAUCCUUUUUGCUUCUGAAAACACUCUAGGGCAUAAAUACUGUGUAUCCAAUUUUGACCUAUAGUGAACACCUGCAGGUAAACUAAGUACAGGUAAAACAGUUAUGGUGUUUUUGAAAUUUUAUGAUCUCUGGCAUGUGAUUAUAUAACUUGUACAGUUGUAAAACUCGUGAAGGUUGUAAAACUUGACAGUCAUCCAAGUGUCCAGCUGCUUCCUAGAUGCAGCAUUCCUGGUUUCUCUCCAGGCUUACCCUUCGCAGGACUGUGACUGAGGUGACAUUUAAAUUUGAGACUCCUUAUCUUUGCAGUAUCUUCUAAGUGCCCCAAACCCAUAUUCUCUUCAAACACUGAUUGGUCUACCUUCUUAUCCUGUUAGAACACUUGAUAAAAAAGUUCACGCCCUGUUAAUUAGUGAUUUCUAUCUGUUUUUGAUAAAGCUUCCACAAUUAUGGGCAACUGUCUACUGGAAAGGAAUGAGAUUAUAAAUGAUAUCAUUUCAGGAAGUAAUACACUGGAUAGAAAAGCAGUGGUUCCCUGAGACAUUAAAAUCUGGUUAUAUAGCGACUUAUUGCUUCAUAAGCUUGCCAGGGCUUCAUGAUUGCAUCUUUCUGUAAAUGUAACUGUACUUGUUAAGUGCAAGGCAUUUCCACACGUGUGC